AAUCAGUUAACUCAAGUGGUA
rnacentral:misc_RNA from 1 species